rnacentral:lncRNA from 1 species
AAACCUGCUCCUCCAAAGUGUCUGGGAAGCAGCGAGGUACCAAGGUGGCUGGAUUUCCAGACUGUUGAGUGUGCAGGCGGCGUGUCUCCAAGGCCAUCCAUCACCUGUGAGUUUCUGCUAAGUGAGAAAAGCUAGCACACUAUUCUCUCACCUUCUCCAUCCUGGAGCUGAAACAGAGAAAAAUAAAUACCACUCCAUCCCAAGGCCCUGUGACACAUGCAAUUAGAUGUCUUUCCCCAGACUCUUGGAUUUUCACUCGGAGUUGGCUGGAUGGAGCUGAGACUUCAUGGACAGAAUGUCUGGGGCUGGAGAAGUUGAAGCCCAUACUCCAUGAUGACUGUGCCUUUGAUAGGAACCAUCUGACUGUGUGCCAGCAACCUGAGGGCUUUCUUCAUGAGGCUAAUUCUCUAGUCUGCCAAUCUCUCUCUCUCCCCUCCCUCCUUCCCCUCCUUCCUAUCUAAAUAAUCCAGUGUUGGCUUCUUCAUCUGGAGAAACAAUACCUCUUUCACACUCUAUAUGCUAACAUGAGUAUGAUAUUGUGUGAGGAGAAAAGUUGAUUCUGGAUUUGGUGCGGUUCUAGAUCAUUCUUAUGGUUUGAGUGUGAGUAUGGUUUGGUAGUGUGGAACGUUUAGGAGGUGGGGCCUAGAGGAAGUGAAUCUCUGAGAACUCCCAGCUUAUCUCCCUCGGCUCCCUGACUGCUAAGGACCUGUUACUCAUCACUAGACACUACAGCAGUUAUGGCUGUGAGCAGCUCCUGUCUCCAUGAUGAACUGUAUCCUCUGAACCAGGAGUCAGAAUAAAUCCUUCCUUGUU